UAAAGGUCGAAAGGGGAGAUUCAGUAUCCAUUCCUCGCCGCCGCCCUGCGCCGCAGGUACAACUCGGGGUGCCCCUUCGGGGGUGGCCCUGGGCCUGCGGCGCAGUUUCGCGCGCGGGAGGUGGAGCGCACUUCUCCCCGAGUAGGACGCCGCGACCCGCUGGGUGUCGGUCUGAGGCCUGGGCGCGAGUCCGAGUCGAGUUUUUCUCGUCGCGGAGCCCCGGUGUCCCGACCGACCGCUCGGCGGUCUGACGUAAGGAACUGGCCCGCGCUCUUUUGCGCGCCCGUGCCGCUUGCGAGCGUCCGGCUGAACCCGUCGUGCGGACUCGUCCGCCGCGGGCCCGUCGGCGUUGUCGGCUUGCGGACUUCUCGGGCAGCGGCCUCUCCUGUUUGCGGCGCUCAAAGCUGGGCGGCCCACCCGGCCCGUCUUGAAACACGGACCAAGGAGUCUAACAUGUGCGCGAGUCAUUGGGUCCCACUAAACCCAAGGGCGCAUUGAACGAGAAGGCCGGCCCUGCGCCGGCCGAGGGAGGAUGGGGCGGCGCUCGCGUCGCCUCCGCACUCCCGGGGCGUCUCGUCCUACCUGGGCUCGUCCUUGGAAGGUGAGGCGCACCAAGAGCGCACACGUUGGGACCCGAAAGAUGGUGAACUAUGCCUGGCCAGGACGAAGUCAGGGGAAACCCUGAUGGAGGUCCGUAGCGAUUCUGACGUGC
rnacentral:rRNA from 1 species